rnacentral:rRNA from 1 species
CGGAGGAUCCAAGCGUUAUCCGGAAUCAUUGGGUUUAAAGGGUCCGUAGGCGGUUUAUUAAGUCAGUGGUGAAAUCUGGUCGCUCAACGAUCAAACGGCCAUUGAUACUGAUAGACUUGAAUUAUUGGGAAGUAACUAGAAUAUGUAGUGUAGCGGUGAAAUGCUUAGAUAUUACAUGGAAUACCAAUUGCGAAGGCAGGUUACUACCAAUGGAUUGACGCUGAUGGACGAGAGCGUGGGGAGCGAACAGGAUUAGAUACCCUGGUAGUCCACGCCGUAAACGAUGGAUACUAGCUGUUCGGAGCAAUCUGAGUGGCUAAGCGAAAGUGAUAAGUAUCCCACCUGGGGAGUACGUUCGCAAGAAUG